UAGGGAAUCUUCCACAAUGGACGCAAGUCUGAUGGAGCAACGCCGCGUGAGUGAAGAAGGUUUUCGGAUCGUAAAGCUCUGUUGUUGGUAGAAGAAGGAUAGAGGCAGUAACUGGUCUUUAUUGACGGUAAUCAACCAGAAAGUCACGGCUAACUACGUGCCAC
rnacentral:rRNA from 1 species